UACAGAGGUCUCAAGCGUUGUUCGGAUUCAUUGGGCGUAAAGGGUGCGUAGGCGGCGCGGUAAGUCGGGUGUGAAAUCUUGGAGCUUAACUCCGAAACUGCAUUCGAUACUGCCGUGCUUGAGGACUGGAGAGGAGACUGGAAUUUACGGUGUAGCGGUGAAAUGCGUAGAUAUCGUAAGGAAGACCAGUGGCGAAGGCGGGGUCUCUGGACAGUUCCUGACGCUGAGGCACGAAGGCCAGGGGGAGCAAAACGGGGAUUAGAAACC
rnacentral:rRNA from 1 species